rnacentral:rRNA from 1 species
GACGAACGCUGGCGGCGUGCCUAAUACAUGCAAGUCGAGCGAGCUUGCCUAGAUGAAUUUGGUUCUUGCACCAGAUGAAACUAGAUACAAGCGAGCGGCGGACGGGUGAGUAACACGUGGGUAACCUGCCCAAGAAACUGGGUUAACACCUGGAAACAGUUGCUAUUACCGGUUAACAACACUAGCCCCUUGUUUAGGGUUUAAAAGAUGGUUCUCUUUUCCUUCUUGGUUGGACUUGCGGUGCAUUAGCUAGUUGGUAAGGCAACGGCUUACCAAGGCAAUGAUGCAUAGCCGAGUUGAGAGACUGAUCGGCCACAUUGGGACUGAGACACGGCCCAAACUCCUACGGGAGGCAGCAGUAGGGAAUCUUCCACAAUGGACGCAAGUCUGAUGGAGCAACGCCGCGUGAGUGAAGAAGGGUUUCGGCUCGUAAAGCUCUGUUGGUAGUGAAGAAAGAUAGAGGUAGUAACUGGCCUUUAUUUGACGGUAAUUACUUAGAAAGUCACGGCUAACUACGUG